rnacentral:lncRNA from 1 species
UUCACGGCAGAGAACCUCACUCAGCCUUGAAAAGGAGGCACAUUCCGAUACCUGUGAUGGCAUGGAUGGACCUGGAGCACAUCGUGCCAAGAGAGAAGCUGGUCACAAGGGGACAGAUACUGCCCAGACCCACUUCUAGGAGGCCCGAGCUGGGUGACGUGACAGCUACACAGCAGUGUGCACAGCGCCGCUGAACUCCCCUAGGAAUGGUCACGUGAUGAACCUAUGUGUACUUGACCACAGUUUUUGAAAGUAAUACGUAUGGUGGGUGUGCCUGCCCAGACCCAGGGAAAACACUCCAGGCUCGUUCUGGUUGCUGUCACUGAAGAAAACCGUGCCUCACAAGGACAGGAAUCAGACAUGGAAGCAGGCUUGUCAGUGCUUCUGUGACACUCAGGAUGCGCUAGCUUGACUUGGCGCAGAACAUACGGAAAUCUGAAGUUGUCACCUUUUACAGUCUCACGCAGUGGGUUCUCCUCUAGCACGGACAAAAUCAGCUCACGUAGCUUGUUCGUAAGUGGGCCACGGACCCUUCCUUCCGGUCGGUGUCUUUUGAAAGCUGUUAGCCCAUGGUCUCCGAGCUGGGAGAAAGAAUGCCUAGGUCCUGUUAAAGUCCCUGCUGAUGUCUGGCACACAUCAGUGACCCAGUGUCACUCAUCGCUCAUAAUCCCAGCUUGGCCGCCGCAGCCACUGUCUGCCGACUGGGCACAGCAGUUGUUCCCCCUGAAGUGAGAGGUUGAGUUCACUGAGCAGGCUGAAUAUGUCACACAGGUAAGCAAGAUUUGUGACCCAUUCUGCAUCACCGAAAUGUGCUGCGGUGGUGACUCUUUCUAAAAAGUCGUCUCUGGAGGGCCGAGGAUUUAGCUCAGCGGUUCCGGCGCCUGCCUCGCAAGCACAAGGUCCCGAGUUCAAUCCCGGUACCAAAAAAAAAGUCAUCUCUGGAGCAGCUCUCAGAUCCGCAGCCCUCUCACCACUGUGUGUAAGAGAACACGUAUGUGCUCUGUGUCCAUCUUCUCUCACGGCUGUGUGAAUGACCCGAGCUAAGGGCAUGCACUGGACUGUGCUUGAUAGUCACAUCCUGCAGAACACUGUUAAGUUCAGGUGACAUUUUUCAGCUAGCCAGCACUUCUCCAUGGAUGACAUUCAGAAGCAGCCUUUGACCCGAGUAGUCAAACCAGAAAUCGUCCACUCUUUGCUCGGUCUGUGCACCUGACCAAGUCAGUGUUUGUGAAGUGCAGUUCGGGUGGUCUUAGUUGGUAACAAAGGUCCACAUAGCAUACCCUCAUGCACAUCCUCCUGAAAAAUAAAUCAUACAGAGCAAGCGUUGAUGCCUUGUUGCCAGCUUCCGUGAGAGCGCAUCCUUCUGUCUGUGUACCUUGGUGCACCAUCUAGUCAUGGUGCUAGCCGACAGAGGAGCACGGGCCGCUGGUUGUACCGCACCUGCCCUACAAGUUCAUGACAAGGUCCUCAGCAGCAACUGGGGCACCUUCACCUGUGGAAGGGCUCCUCAGCUUUGGCGGUGCUGUGAGCCACUGAGAGGGGAGGCCCACACACCAGCUGAAGCAAUGGCCUGCAGUCACUGGUUCUGUCCUUCGUGG